rnacentral:rRNA from 1 species
GAUGAACGCUAGCGGGAGGCCUAACACAUGCAAGCCGAGCGGUAGAGCUUCUUCGGCAACUUGUGCUCGGCUCACGGGUGCGUAACACGUGUGCAACCUACCUUUAUCUGGGGGAUAGCCUUUCUAAAGGAAGAUUAAUACCCCCUAAUAUAAUGAUUGGCAUCAAUUAUUAUUGAAAACUCCGGUGGAUAGAGAUGGGCACGCGCAAGACUAGAUAGUUGGUGAGGGAACGGCUCACCAAGUCAAUGAUCUUUAGGUGUCCUGAGAGGGAGAUCCCCCACACUGGUACUGGGACACGGACCAGACUCCUACGGGAGGCAGCAGUGAGGAAUAUUGGACAAUGGAUGAGAGCCUGAUCCAGCCAACCCGCGUGAAGGAUGACGGUCCUAUGGAUGGUAGCCUUCUGUUGUACAGGGAUAAACCCACUCUCGGGAGGGUAGCUGAAGGUACUGGACGAAUAAGCACCGGCUAACUCCGUG